rnacentral:lncRNA from 1 species
UUUGGGUUUUGUUUGUUUUUGUUCAUUUUUCAGACACGGUGAGUCAGAAACGUAAGGCUCAGAGAUAUUUUUAGUUUUUCCAGCCACUAAGAAUUCUUGUUGCCUGCAGGGAAAUAAAGAAAUGCAGAGAAGGGGGAGUGCUAGACUUGCCUGCUUGCUAUCCAAAACCACUUCUUUCCUUUGAAAAAGGGUCUGUGCAGCCAAAACAAGCAGCGCUAACGCUGGGCUGAGAGUAGGCACCAGCCAUCCAGGAAAGAGACAAGGCAACCAUCAGCUACAAAAGCUGCUUCAACAGCAGACAGCUCAAAGAAUCAAAAAAUGCAUCCCAGGAGGGCUGGGUGAGGAAAGACAGUGAUCUUGCCUUGGUAUUUGCAGCAAAGUCACAGACCAGGAAGGUCAAAUCCUCGCUGAGAACCAUGUGGACAAAUGUCCAGGACAUGGUCGCUGGCCUCAGGGAGCCCACAAUUUUAUUGAAGAAGCAAGAUUGUCAGAAGUAAGGACCAAAACUCGUGUAUACAGAGAAAGGAGAAAGAUUGAGAGGAAAGAAGAGGAGAAUCAAGGAGGCAGAGAUUAAAAGAAGGAAGGGAUAGAAAAGAAAAGAAAAAGAAAGAGGGAAGGAGAGAAGGGGAAAAGUACGGACUCCGUUUCGUGACUACAUCACAAGCAUUGAUGAAAAGAAGAGAAAUCUGUGAAAACGAGAAAGCAGGCACUGUAUGUUGCAUCCUGACACACAGUGAGUUGUUACACUUUAAAAGCCACAAAGAAGAGACGCUCACCCAGAGACAGACUUGAUGGAUUUGGCAGCUUAUCAUACUGGGAAGGGCAGAAUUGGGUUAUGCUAUGUUUUCAAUGGGUCCCCUCCAAAAGUCAGCCAAUGUGAUAGUAUUAAGAGAUGAGGCCUUUAAGAGGUGAUUAGGCCAUGAGAGCUCCUUCCUCGGGCUUGGAAUUAAGUGUCCUUAUACAGAGGUUUGGCACAAGGAGUUGGCCCCCACUUGCCCUUCCGUGUUCAGCCAUGAGGACACAGUGUUCCUUCUCUCUGGAGGAUGCAGCGUGAGGGCGCCAUCUUGGAAGCACAGAGCAGCCAUCACCAGACACCAAACCUGCUGGUGCCUUGAUCUUCCCAGCCUCCAGAACUGUGUAAACACUGAGGCCCAUAGAGGUCAUCACCUGCCCAACUGGACAGCUGUGAAGCCACAGCUCACACCACUUGCUGCAUCCUCCUGCAAUUUCAGCACACUUUCUCUUGUGCUGCUCUCCCUGGAAAGACAGUGCUUUUCCCCAACACCAAUUCCACCGGCAUCGCCCUAGAAAAAUACUCACAAAGAACACGGGGAGCUAUGUCUAAGGAUCUUCAAUGAAGUAUUGUUAUAAUGGACAUUUAGUUACAACUUAAAUGUUCACCAACUGGGUGAACAUUUCCACUGACUGGGGAAUGACCAGAAACAGAAAACAGAGAACUAUGCUGUAUAACCAUCACAUGAAAUUCUGGGCAGCGGUAGAAAGGAAUGAAUGAAUCUGCUCAUGCUUACAUGAAAAGAGACAUAUUGUGAAGUGAAGGAAGUUUCAGAAUGAAGUUUACAAGUAUGAUUCCACAUGUUACAGAACAACAAGAGAUGUGGGUGUUUUGUAUGCAGACAUAUACAUGUAUGUAAACGUAUAGGAAAAGGUCUGAAAUUACGCAAGCCAAACUGAUAACAAAAUUACCCAUUGAGAAGGGGAAAGUGGUAGAAAAGAGAGAAUGCUGAUCAAGGGGAUUCUAGCCUUAUCUGAGCUGUUUGAAUUGUUUCACAAGAAUAAUGUAUUCAUGUGUUACUUGUGUGCUUAUAAUAAAUCUAAAAUAAG